rnacentral:ncRNA from 1 species
GCCCGUCCGAAGGGGGGCCCCGUGCGGGGCUGAGAUCGGGAGCGCCCGACCACCCUUUGAACCUGAACCGGUUCGUACCGGCGGAGGGAUGCGGACGUCGCGGGCCA